CCUACGGGAGGCAGCAGCCGGGAAUUUUGGGCAAUGGGCGAAAGCCUGACCCAGCAACGCCGCGUGAAGGAUGAAAUCCCUCGGGAUGUAAACUUCGCAAGAACGGGAAGAAUAAGUUUGUGCUAAUACCACAAGCGAUGACGGUACUGUUUGUAAGCUCCGGCUAACUCCGUGCCAGCAGCCGCGGUAAU
rnacentral:rRNA from 1 species